GCGGAUAUGGCGGAAUUGGCAGACGCGCAUGGUUCAGGUCCAUGUGAUAGCAAUAUCAUGGAGGUUCAAGUCCUCUUAUCCGCA
rnacentral:tRNA from 2 species